rnacentral:rRNA from 1 species
CCUACGGGGUGCAGCAGGCGCGAAACCUCUGCAAUGCGGGAAACCGUGACAGGGGGAUCCCAAGUGCUCAUGCAUUGCAUGGGCUGUUCUUUGGUCUAAGUAACCAGAGGAGUAAGGGCUGGGCAAGACCGGUGCCAGCCGCCGCGGUAAUACCGGCAGCUCAAGUGGUAGCCGCGAUUAUUGGGCCUAAAGCGUUCGUAGCCGGAUAAGUAAGUCUUUGGUUAAAUCCUGCAACUCAACUGUGGGAAAUCUAGGGAUACUGCUUGUCUUGAGACCGGGAGAGGUUAGAGGUACUCCUAGGGUAGGGGUGAAAUCCUGUAAUCCUAGGGGGACCACCUGUGGCGAAGGCGUCUAACUGGAACGGGUCUGACGGUGAGGGACGAAACCUAGGGGAGCGAGCCGGAUUAGAUACCCUUGUAGUCC